rfam:Stegodyphus mimosarum contig62566, whole genome shotgun sequence.
GCCUUCGUGGUGUAACAGUAGCACACUCAGCCAGUAUUCGAGAGAUCCAGGUUCGAGUCCCGGCGAGGGCA